rfam:Gossypium arboreum cultivar AKA8401 contig_13983_3, whole genome shotgun sequence.
UCUUAAAAAUUUCAUCGAUUUCUACUGUUAAAAAUUGUCAUGGCUAAUAGAAUAAGCAAAAAGUUAUAUGUGACAUGCCACAUGUCUCUUAUUCUGAUAUACAGGGACCAAUUUUAACAGUAAAAAUAAAUUAAAAUUUUAAUA